UAGAGUUUGAUCCUGGCUCAGAAUGAACGCUGGCGGCACGCUUAACACAUGCAAGUCGAACGAGAUCUUCGGAUCUAGUGGCAGACGGGUGCGUAACGCGUGGGAACCUGCCCUUUAGUAAGGAAUAACUCAGGGAAACUUGUGCUAAUACCUUAUAAUCCCUUCGGGGGAAAGCUUUAUGCGCUAAUGGAUGGGCCCGCGUUAGAUUAGCUUGUUGGUGAGGUAAUGGCUCACCAAGGCGACGAUCUAUAGCUGGUCUGAGAGGAUGAUCAGCCACACUGGGACUGAGACACGGCCCAGACUCCUACGGGAGGCAGCAGUGGGGAAUAUUGGACAAUGGGGGCAACCCUGAUCCAGCGAUGCCGCGUGAGUGAUGAAGGCCCUAGGGUUGUAAAACUCUUUCGCCAGGGAAGAUAAUGACGGUACCUGGUAAAGAAGAUCCGGCUAACUCCGUGCCAGCAGCCGCGGUAAUACGGAGGGAUCUAGCGUUAUUCGGAAUAACUGGGCGUAAAGCGAGCGUAGGCGGAUUUGUAAGUUGGAGGUGAAAUCCCAAGGCUUAACCCUGGAACUGCCUUCAAAACUACAUUUCUUGAGUUUGGUAGAGGAGAGUGGAAUUCCUAGUGUAGAGGUGAAAUUCGUAGAUAUUAGGAGGAACACCAGUGGCGAAGGCGACUCUCUGGGCCAAUACUGACGCUGAGGUUCGAAAGCGUGGGGGAGCGAACGGGAUUAGAUACCCCGGUAGUCCACGCAGUAAACGAUGAGUGCUAGAUGUUGGGAACAUUAGUUUUCAGUAUCGCAGCUAACGCGUUAAGCACUCCGCCUGGGGAAGUACGGCCGCAAGGCUAAAACUCAAAUGAAUUGACGGGGACCCGCACAAGCGGUGGAUCAUGUGGUUUAAUUCGAAGCAACGCGAAGAACCUUACCGGCUCUUGACAUACCAAUCGCGGAUCUAAGAGAUUAGAUCCUUCACUUCGGGUGGAUUGGAUACAGGUGCUGCAUGGCUGUCGUCAGCUCGUGUCGUGAGAUGUUGGGUUAAGUCCCGCAACGAGCGCAACCCCUACCUUCAAUUGCCAGCACGUUAUGGUGGGAACUUUGAAGGAACUGCCGGUGAUAAGCCGGAGGAAGGUGGGGAUGACGUCAAGUCCUCAUGGCCCUUACGGGCCGGGCUACACACGUGAUACAAUGGUGAUUACAAAGGGCUGCUACAGAGCGAUCUCAAGCAAAUCCUUAAAAGUCAUCUCAGUUCGGAUUGCACUCUGCAACUCGAGUGCAUGAAGUUGGAAUCGCUAGUAAUCGUAGAUCAGCGCGCUACGGUGAAUACGUUCCCGGGUCUUGUACACACCGCCCGUCACACCAUGGGAGUUGGUUUUACCUGAAGCUAGUUCGCUAACCGCAAGGAGGCAGCUAACCACGGUAAGAUUAGCGACUGGGGUGAAGUCGUAACAAGGUAACCA
rnacentral:rRNA from 1 species